rnacentral:rRNA from 1 species
UACGUAGGGUGCAAGCGUUGUCCGGAAUUAUUGGGCGUAAAGAGCUCGUAGGCGGUUCGUCGCGUCGGCUGUGAAAUCCCGAGGCUCAACCUCGGGUCUGCAGUCGAUACGGGCGGACUGGAGUUCGGCAGGGGAGACUGGAAUUCCUGGUGUAGCGGUGAAAUGCGCAGAGUAUCAGGAGGAACACCGGUGGCGAAGGCGGGUCUCUGGGCCGAUACUGACGCUGAGGAGCGAAAGCGUGGGGAGCGAACAGG